rnacentral:rRNA from 1 species
GAUGAACGCUGGCGGCGUGCCUAAUACAUGCAAGUCGAGCGAACAGACGAGGAGCUUGCUCCUCUGACGUUAGCGGCGGACGGGUGAGUAACACGUGGAUAACCUACCUAUAAGACUGAGAUCACUUCGGGAAACCGGAGCUAAUCCCGGAUAAUAUAUUGAACCGCAUGGUUCAAUAGUGAAAGACGGUUUUGCUGUCACUUAUAGCUGGAUCCGCGCCGCAUUAGCUAGUUGGUAAGGUAACGGCUUACCAAGGCAACGAUGCGUAGCCGACCUGAGAGGGUGAUCGGCCACACUGGAACUGAGACACGGUCCAGACUCCUACGGGAGGCAGCAGUAGGGAAUCUUCCGCAAUGGGCGAAAGCUUGACGGAGCAACGCCGCGUGAGUGAUGAAGGUGUUCGGAUCGUAAAACUCUGUUAUUAGGGAAGAACAAAUGUGUAAGUAACUAUGCACGUCUUGACGGUACCUAAUCAGAAAGCCACGGCUAACUACGUG